CAAGGAAAAUUGCCAAAUUACGCCAUAUUCUUCAAUUUAAAAUCAGAUCACUAAAGUACAAAAGUAGUUACAUGGUUAACACCACAAAACUAGCGGAUGGAAAUAUAACCUCCUGGUAAUUAAAUAGCGUGCGUGCUAACUCAAUAGUUACCGUCUAAAAUUCAUCGUUAUUCUCAGUUUGUAUAACAAAACUGCAAGUCAGAUUGUGAGUAAGUGGGAUUUGCUAUAUUUUUGCAACGAUUUGUUUCGCUAACAAAUUGUUGGUCGGACUAUCGGCGCGUCCAGCGGCGUAGUCACCUCGAUAAUUGGGGACGUCCAUAUUUAUAUAUUCGUGUUCUGCAUUA
rnacentral:lncRNA from 1 species